rnacentral:rRNA from 1 species
UACGAAGGGGGCUAGCGUUGCUCGGAAUCACUGGGCGUAAAGCGCACGUAGGCGGAUUGCUAAGUCAGGGGUGAAAUCCUGGAGCUCAACUCCAGAACUGCCUUUGAUACUGAGAAGCUUGAGUCCGGGAGAGGGUGAGUGGAACUGCGAGUGUAGAGGUGAAAUUCGUAGAUAUUCGGAGGAACACCAGUGGCGAAGGCGGCUCACUGGUCCCAUUACUGAC